AGUGAACGCUGGCGGUAGGCCUAACACAUGCAAGUCGAACGGCAGCACAGUAAGAGCUUGCUCUUACGGGUGGCGAGUGGCGGACGGGUGAGGAAUACAUCGGAAUCUACUUUUUCGUGGGGGAUAACGUAGGGAAACUUACGCUAAUACCGCAUACGACCUACGGGUGAAAGCAGGGGAUCUUCGGACCUUGCGCGAUUGAAUGAGCCGAUGUCGGAUUAGCUAGUUGGCGGGGUAAAGGCCCACCAAGGCGACGAUCCGUAGCUGGUCUGAGAGGAUGAACAGCCACACUGGAACUGGAAAACGGGCCAGACCCCUAAGGGGGGGAGCAGGGGGGAAUAUUGGACAAUGGGGGGAAGCCCUAUCCCGCCCUUCCGGGGGGGGGAAGAAGGUCUUCGGGUUUUAAAACCCUUUUUGUUGGGAAGAAAAGCAGGAAGUUAAAACCCCCCUGUUUUGACGGGACCCAAAGAAAAAGCCCCGGCUAAAUUCGUG
rnacentral:rRNA from 1 species